AUUCCUUACCAUAUGAGUGGUCCUUCUUUCAUGCUCUUAAUGCUUUCCAUUUCACACCCUCUCAAUAUUCAUAAAUUAAUAACUAAUUUCAUUUCCUCUCUCUCUAACAUUGCAUACAUUACAUAUUAUAUUUAAUCUUCCAUCCCAAAUAUAAAUUAUUGUUGUUUUGCUUUCGGUAUCCUUAGUGGAGUGGAGAGUGCUCUAUUUCAAAACAGGACAAUACCACAAAGAAAUAUCAAUUUACAAAAGUGAUUAUGGGCCUAGGAAGAUUGGUAGUGACACUAAAAUCCAAAAUAAAAUCUUUGAAAUUGAAGAAACCUUAUAAUAAGGUGGAGAAAAGUGAGAGUAUGAGAGUGGAGAUAAGGAGCAAAAAAGCAAGAAAGCUUAUUGAAGAGACUCUCAAAAUUGCUGAUUCACCAAGGACAAAAACUUUCAAUUUUUGAUACUAUCUAGAGCUACCUUAUGUUCAGUUCAUUGUAUGUAUCAAACCUCUCAAGGUUCUCUUAUUUUCUAUGUAUGUAUUUUAGUUCAAUUUCAAUAAGAUUUUAGCUUUUUUUUUCCUAAA